GAGAGCUCCGCGCGCCAGACGGCGCGGGCGGGGCGGAGGCUCUCAGCCAAUCGGCGCCCGGCGCGAACCGCGCGCGGCCAACGGGAGGCGGCGGGCGGCGUGAUCGCGGCGUGCAGGGGCGCUGCCGGCGGUUAAAGCCGUUCCCCCUCGUCCCGCCGCUACCCGCUCACGUCAAACGCCCGUUUCCUCAUUACAUAUCCGCUCACGGGAGGAGCGGCCCCCGCGCACGCCCACCCACGUCCCGCCCGGGGGCCGAGCUCCCGGUUAGGUCCCAGCGACGAACGGAUAAAGUACGAGCCGCGCCCCGUGCCCGGCCCUGCCCCGCAGCCCUCCCACCCACGCCGCGUCACACCUAAACGGGGCCCGUCCGCGCAAGCCGGGACCCCGGGAAGCCGCCAAUGGGGAGGCGGGGCCGGGAGCCGCGGCUCAACGCCGGGCUGCGAGCGGGGCGAGGACAGCGGCGGCUCCACGCGGCACCUCGGAGGGCAGCCGCGCCCCCCCGCCUCUCCCUCAGCCCCGGCUGCCCCUCCCGUGACGGCUCCACGCACAAAAGAGUCGCCGGUUAGAAAUGGAACAUAUAAAAUUUAAUAGCUUGGUUUAAAAUACGUUUUCAAUUAAAAAACAGCAGGCAAAACCAAACAGUCAGUUCCGUAACACAUACACGAGGUUGCUGCUACAGUGAGAAGACCCGCGUCCCAGAGAGCCUGAGAGGAAAAACCCAUCAGAUUUAGCCCACCUACUUCAUUACGCAGUAAAAAAAAAAGAACUAACGGUUGUGCCAAUCCUACCCCUACGGAAACCCCAAACUACUUCCCUGACCCCAGACUGAGUUUCUGCGAUAGAACUUCCACUUCCGAUACAAAUAUAUGAUACGUGUUGGAUAUAUGAGGUUUAAGAAGCCCCCUCGCUCACACGGGCAGCCCCACGGCGGUGCCGGCUCAGCCCAGGCCCCAGCAGGCCGUUAGCAGGAGGGCACGCGGUGCCGGCAGAGGGGAGGAUUGGGAAUGGGACGCUGUGUGAGCCUCCUUGGGGUCGGCCCAGGCAUAAAUCCCAAAAUCCUAAGGUUCAUAAAGUCAUAAAAUAACAAAAUAUAUGGCAAGGAGGGAUCUCAGGUAGGGAGCUCGUCCCAGCACCGGGGCAGCAUUAACUGUACCCGCAGCCACCAGGGGAUGUCAUCCGGCCUGGCUCUGGGGAGCUCUGACGCCAAAGGCCACAGCCCUCCCUGAGCAACCUUCUCCAUCGGCAACCUGAAUUUCUGCAAUUGAAGCCCACCACAAGGACUGGGAGCACGGAUCCGCACGCUUGGAGGCUCUGCUCCCUCAGCCCCGAGCUCCCGGCGGGACGGCAGUGGGAAGGGCCUACUUUGCCAGCCCGCUUCUCCAGCCUAUCCAGGUCAACCCAGGGCAACGCACGCUCAGCCCCCCGCUGCUUUGGGGCUGCCUCAGAACACUGUAAACCUCCCAUUAACGCAGACCACUGCCAGCAGCACACGGUGGCACCGCUCCCGGUGCUUCGUAGCUGCUCACGUCCCACCCUGCGGUGCAGGCGGCUGCAGCCAUGGCUGUGCACCUCUGCCUUGCUGCUAACCAGAGGGCAUCUUCCCUUCCUAAGCACAAAAGGCACAAUGAGUAAGCACCAGAGAGCCUACCGCAGUGGCUGGUUUUGGUUUCUGGCAGCUGGGACCAGGCCGACUGCUGCUACCAGCUGCCCUCGUUGGUUCUCCCACCAGCUCGGUGCUGCACGAUGCACACCAGCAGCAAUCAGCCUGUCCGUGGCCCCGGUUCUCCGCUGCAGCACCCAACACCUUGCCAAGCACUGGAUUUCCCCAGACCGAGCUGCUGCCACAGGGCUUGGCAGAGGUCUGGGGGAACCCUAAGCAUACCGCCCCACACAGAAAUCCACCCUGCAGGAGACUUCCUCACCCCUCAAAGUGAGGUCUGAAGGAACCUGAAUGUGCUCAGCUUUUCUCGGGGGCACAGCCUCUCGGCCUCAGCCCAGACCACCCCCUGUGGGCAGCAGGACACCGCUGCUCAGAGCCGGGACAGGCAGGAGACAGUGCUGCCGGUGCCUUGCUGUCCAGAGGGGUUGAGGAGAGCUGCUACCCUUCCCUCCACGCAGGAAAAUGCAUGCUCAGCAAGGUCUCUGUGCGUUCUACGAACGUACCAAUGUGUGCUCACCUUCGGUGCAUGUUAAGGCUUCGUCCUUUUCUUAAAUAGCUACGUUAAAUAUCUGUUUUCUCUGUAUAUGGCAUCCUUUUAGAUGGGCUUCUUUGCAUAUAUUCAUGGUAUAUACACAAACACCGUAUUUUAUAUAUAUUAUAUAUCACUUGUAUGUACACAUUUACAAACCUUCAAAAAUAUAUUGCACUUAUAUACAAUAUAGCUUCAUCUGAUGAGAGUUCACACAGUUACUAAGGCGAGUUCUUCAUAAGCAAGGCAGUAUUACAUCCCCCCCCAACGACACAAGUGAUUUCAACAACCUGCCCUGAUAGAGUAAACAUUAUGAUGACUUUUCUCCGACCUGCACGCAAUUCCUACCAGUUUCAGUCAGUAGUUUUGCAGCUCUACCUAACAGAAAACAGUCCAGUAAAACGCUAUUAGCUGAUAACGGGCUCAAUCGUGGGUACCGAAUAGAUAAAUAAGACAUCACCGCUCUAAAAGGCCACCUUCCAAGGGUUUCCCCUUCCCUUAUCUAUUAGUCUUUUAUACAUGCUCUAUUUAAUUGCUGUUCUUUGCUCACCGGUUUCAAGUGCAAAUAAGGCCAUGAGCAUUACAACGUUCUCUAGAAAGAACA